UACGUACGAGGCAAGCGUUAUCCGGAAUUACUGGGCGUAAAGCGCGCGCAGGCGGAUGGUUAAGUAGGGCGUGAAAUCUCCCGGCCUAACUGGGAGGGGUCGCUCUAGACUGGCCGCCUUGAGGACUGCAGAGGUGGGUGGAAUUCCUGGUGUAGUGGUGAAAUGCGUAGAGAUCAGGAGGAACACCGGUGGCGAAAGGCGGGCUACUCUCGGCCCCGGUUUCUGGCG
rnacentral:rRNA from 1 species